UUUUCACUUCAGUCGUCGAUUUCAUUCGUACGGUUACCGGUAGCUUGUCUCGGUAUUUCGUGAUUCCAGAAAAAGGAUAGAACACACAGACGCCAUGUGAUUAUUAAUGGACAAUCUGAUGAAUUUUGAUGGAAAGUUGGCAACAUUUUAUUCAUUUGGAUAACAUUUGAUUUAUCAAUGGAUCCAUGUGGACGGAUAAAAGAUGGAAUAACAAGGAUUGUGGAAUUUAAGGAUAAUGUCUGGAUCCUGCCUAAUGGUAUCACAGGUAUAGUCCAGUAAUCUGCCACUUUGUUCGAAUCCCACGCUGAGCACGGGCUGAAUUAUCGAAAUUCCACUAUACAAAUCGAGAUUUACCUUGUAACGCACGCACUUAGUAAGUAUCAGCUCGGCAUUUUCUAACUACAACAUC